GCCCUGCCAGGCGGAGUGUGGAGGAGGCCGCCAUUUUCAUUUUCAGGCGAGGGCGCUCAGGCGAGCGUGGGGCGCCAGCAGGUGACGCCACGCAGCGCCCCGCCCCGCCCCCUGCUGAGCGCCCCGCUUCCGCCGUGAGGAUCCGCUCCAGCCUCUCCUUCCUCUGAGGAAGGCAGUGAUGCUGUCUGUGCAUCGGUCUGACCCUCUUCUGAGCAGGCCCGGGAGUCCGGCUACCUGUGAGGCCUGGCCCCCAGCCCGGGGCUCACCUGCUGGAGGCACCUUCUGGAAGCUGAAGUUUCCUGCUGCACAUCGCUCUGCUGAGGCCCUGUGGGGAGGGCAGCGCCGGUUUUUCAGGCAGCGAUAGAAGGGCUAACAAUGGGGGGAAGUGCCUCGUUGGCCUGCUUUCUUUCCUAGUUAUCACUAAGAAAACAGGCUCCGUGGAAGCUGGGGUUAUCUCAAAGGCUGCUCCAUGAGUGGGGGAUGAGGGCGUCAGCUCUCCUGGAAAUGCUCAGGUCCGGCCUCUGCCCCAGGGUGAGCCACGGCCCGGGCUGCAGGCUGAGAGAGAGAGGGAUUUCACUUCAAAUUGAGAGGGGGGUUUUCGUUUUAUUUCCGGUCAUGAGAACACUUUUCUGACCUCAGGGAAGAUCACGUUUUUUGACUCUCCUCUCCUGACACCUUCCUAAAGCCUUGCUCAACUUGCAGAUGGACACUGGGGACUUGGUGCUCAGUUUGCGGAUGGAACCCCCUCCCCGUCUGGGGGCUUGGCGAAAACUCAGACUCUCGGGUCCUGCCCUUCCUUCAGGCUCCCAGGGUGGCCAGGCAGGGUCCUGGGACAAUCUUGACCCAAACAACCUCUAAGAUCUCUGAAGAAUUGCGGUUGCAGCCCCUCCCCGCUUCCCUGGACCUCGGGUGGUGAAAUCCUACAGAUCAAAGGACCAGGGCCUGGGCGCCCCUCCUGGGCACCGCCUGGGGUCGGAGUGCCCUCCCCAGGGACCCUGGUGGCCCAGACGCUGCUCCGCUGUGCACCUGCCUCUGUCCCGGCUCCCUGAUCACCGGCGCAUUAGGGCUCGCGGAUCACCCGGCAGGCGGCCUCCAGGAGCUGAGAGUAGGAAGGAGCAUAGAGACCUCUGUCCUGCAACUGCCAGAAGAAAAUUCCCCCAGCAAUUGGGAGCUGAAAAGUGGCCCUCAGCCCAUAGAAGUCUCACAGCCCUGGCCGGUGCCAUGAAUUCAGCCUGCUAAGACCCGAAAGUGAAGUUGCAACAUGCCCAGGCCACUGACCUGCGGAAACUGAGCUGAGGGUUGGUGCUACUCGAAGCGCCUGUGCUCAUGGAAAUUUGUUAUUCAGCAACAGGAAAUUCGUGCAAAUAGAAAAGGCUGCCUCAAACAUGGUCAUUGAUAACCGGACACUGCCAUGUUCCAGCCCCAGGAAUAAGACACAAAUGGUUCUCGUGAGCGCUCGGCCGUCCAUCAAAGCAAGCCUUGAUUCCACACAGGAGAGAAAUCUGAUGACUCAGGCCCUGGGGCCUUUUGGGUUCAGGAUAAUUGUGAGUUUGUUAUACUGAAUUUCUUAACAGGAAUUUAAUGAACAAG